AUCCAGCUGACGAGAGCUGAAUAGGACGAAACGUUCGUCCUGUAU
rfam:Schistosoma margrebowiei strain Zambia genome assembly, scaffold: SMRZ_contig0002846